GGUGAGAUGGCCGAGUUGGUCUAUGGCGCCAGGUUAAGGUUACCUUAACUGGUGACUGCUCUGUCAGUUGCAGUUUCCUGGUGGAGAAAUCCGCGUGGGUUCGAAUCCCACUCUCAUCA